rnacentral:rRNA from 1 species
AUUGAACGCUGGCGGCAGGCCUAACACAUGCAAGUCGAACGCGUGGCACACGGGUGAGUAAUGUCUGGGACACUGCGUGAUGGAGGGGUAUCACUACUGGAAACGGUAGCUAAUCCCGCAUACCAUCAGAUGUGCCCAGAUGGGAUUCGCUUGUGGGUGGGGUAACGGCUCACCAAGGAGACGCCCCCUAGCUGGUCUGAGAGGAUGACCAGCCACACUGGAACUGAGACACGGUCCAGACUCCUACGGGAGGCAGCAGUGGGGAAUAUUGCACAAUGGGCGCAAGCCUGAUGCAGCCAUGCCGCGUGUAUGAAGAAGGCCUUCGGGUUGUAAAGUACUUUCAGCGGGGAGGCGUUACCCGCAGAAGAAGCACCGGCUAACUCCGUGCCAGCAGCCGCGGUAAUAC